rnacentral:rRNA from 1 species
CCUACGGUAGGCAGCAGUGGGGAAUAUUGGGCAAUGGAGGCAACUCUGACCCAGCAACGCCGCGUGAAUGAUGACGGUCUUCGGAUUGUCAAGUUCUGUGAUGGGGGAUGAACACAAUGACGGUACCCCAAUAGCAAGCCACGGCUAACUACGUGCCAGCAGCCGCGGUAAUACGUAGGUGGCAAGCGUUAUCCGGAAUGACUGGGCGUAAGGGGUGCGUAGGUGGGUUAGUAAGUUGGCGGUGUAUUUCCGGGGCUCAACCGCGGCGCUACCGCCAAAACUAGUAGACUAGAGUUCAGGGAGGGUAAGUGGAAUUCAUAGUGUAGCGGUGGAAUGCGUAGAUAUUAGGAGGAACAUCAGGGGCGAAGGCGACUUACUGGACUGUAACUGACACUGAGGCACGAAAGCGUGGGGAGCAAACAGGAUUAGAUACCCCGGUAGUC